CAGACGGUCAGUUGAAUAAUUCAGAUAAGUAUUAGACGAAGGGCGAAUUUUCUGUACAUUUGCCAAAUAUUUUCCUGUGAUUUAGAAAUGUUAGACACAAAAUUCAUUCACAUUACACAGGAUAUACAUCAAAACAACUUAGACAUCUACGAUCUGUAACUAAUAUUUGCUUCAUGCUUAUUUAAUAAUGCUGCCAUUACAUGGAUAUCGGUGAAUGUAGUAUUACGCGUCAAAUACAAAGGAUACUGGUAGACCACUCGAAACUGACUCGAAUCAGAUCGAAUCAGAUAUGAGAAGAGAAGGGAUUCAUCGUUUAGACCCCACCCAUUACACCAACCUUCCCCCAUCGCGCAGAAUCACGCACAGUAAAUCGUGCACGCAUCUUACGCACCCACGCACGACAAUUGUAUCAUCUGCUUUAGAACUAUUAUAAUAGUAUUUUAGCUUACUUUCGAGAAAUAAAAUAGUAUUAUAUUUAUUGAUAUAUUAUUAAUAUAAAUAUAAAUUUAUUGAUAUAAUAUUCUUGUUAUAUAAAACAUAUAUAUAAUGUACAUUAUACGAAAUAUUUUUUAUAAAAAUAUUUGAUAUUUUCUUUAACAAUAAUGUAGAAAAAGGUGUAUAAUAUAUUUAAAUGUGGACUGCACUAUUUAUUAUGACGCUUCACAUAGAAAUCCUCUCUGACAGAGUUUAAUGAAACUCUGAUGAUAUAGUAGGAAAAUGCUAUUCUUCGGUUAGAAUUGGAAAUAAAGGAAUUUUGUGAAAUUGAUUCUUUUAAUAUUUGUUUUUUUAAUCAUAAAUUGAAAUAUAAAAUUUUUUAUAUAAAUUUUAUAAAUUUAUGAAAUUGAUUAUUUUAAUAUUAAUAUUAUUUAUUUUUUUAAUCAUAAAUUGGAAUAUAAAAUUUUUUAUAUAAAUUUUAUAAGUUUUUUAAUUUUUCUUUUCAUUAAUAUAAUAAUAAGCAUAGAUCAUUUAUUCAUUUAUUUAUUUUUAUGUAUUUUACGUGCAAUAUGAUAAAUAGAAAAUUAAUGAAUUGAUAAUUAUAUCGAAUCAUAAAAACCUUGAACUUACGACUCUAAGUUAUGUUUGAGAUUCAGUUUAAAAUUGUAUUGCAUUCCAGAUUUGAAUUACGUCAGACUAAAGACGUAAUACGACACUAUUAUAAAUAGAGAUGCUUUUAUGUUAGUGUUUAGCUGAUAAAUUUUAAUUUAAAUUAUUCUGGUUUUUUUUAAAUAAAAUAUAUUUUUUUAAAACAUUUAUAUUAUACAAUUAUAAAAAUAAUAUUAUGUUUCCUGAAUCAAAUUGAUUUAUUUUCAACAAAAUAUUAAAAUCAUUUUCUUCUAAAUAAUAUAUUUUCAUCAAUUUAAAUUACAUAUAAUUGUAUGAGAUACACAUUUCUUAUUUUUAGUUUAAUAAUUUUAAUUUUAAAUAUUUAUUUGUUUAUAUAGUUUCUUAAAAAUUUAAAAAUAAAUUUAUUUAAUAAAUCAUUACAAAAUAAAGAAUUUAUGUUGCAUUGUUAAAUCCAUUAUUAAAUAAAAUAAACAUCUAUAUCAGAUCAUUAUAUAAUGUAAAAUAGAAAGUUAAAAGAGAAUCAUAUAAUUAUAAAAGCAUAUAUAUUUAAAAAAGCAUUGUCACAUACAAUGAGAGUGAGAUACUAUGGGAUAUUUCUUUUAAAAAGUUAUUUAUUCUAAUGUUUCAAGAAUUAUUAUUAUUAUUAGAAUUAUUAUUUUUAUUAGUAAAGUAUACAUAUUAUAAUAUACGAUUAUAUAAAAUAUUUCAUAUAAGAAGGGAGUCAAAUUAAAAAAAAGAAAUGAAAAUAUAAAAUUAUAUAUACAUUUAAUUAAAAAUAUAUAGGUAAAAAGGUAAGAGAAGAAAUAAAAAAAGUAUAAGUUAAUAACUUCUUUUAUUGCAUUUUAAAGUGUUCAUCUACAUUUUAUGUUUAAUUUUAAGCGUUUAUAUUUAUUCAUCAAAAAAUGGAUCAAAAAACAUAUAAAAAAAUGUUUAUUAUUAUAUUUCAUUCACAUUUUAAAUUAUAUAUUCAAACAUUCAUUGUUAUUAAAAAUUUCAAAAAAUAAAUAAUACUUCAAGAAAAUACAAAACUAAAAUACUUUUUAUUCUUAAAUUAAAUAAAUUUAUCUAUAUUUUAAAUUGCAUCGUCGAAUUAUCUAUAUAAGGUAUAAUAAUUACCUAAAAUAAUUAAUAAUUUCAAUAAAUCAUUAUUCACAUUGCAAAUCUCCAUUUUUAUUUUCUAUUUCAUCUCGUUAAAUUCUAACAUUAGACCAACACAAUUAGACCAAAUGUCCACAAAGAACCGGAUAUAUUCUUCCAUUUUCCAUUUUUUCUCCGCGCAAAUCGAUGAUACGCAAAGUCCAAUAAUAUUCGCGGAUAUUUUAAGAACGGAUACGAAAAAAAAAAAAAGAAAAACGAGAAAAAGAAAGAAUGAAUGGGUGGGGAAUGCGCAUUUCGUGAAAGUUAUAAUUCCUCUGAGUAUUCUUGGUGCAGGGCUACCAGACAUAACGCAUUACGCGAAGUGUUAAAGGUUCAAGACGCCGAAGAGACCGUGAUAUUCUUUCGAAAUUAGGUAUUCAUGCUGCAUCAUUCCGGUCCAGAGAGCCAUAUACGGUUGGUCAAAGACACGAGGCAUUGUGUAUAUGUAAGUUGCACAUAUCUCAUCGAUAUAGCAAGGAGAAAGCCGCUUUCAGCAUUAAUUCAGGACAAAUAUUUUUAUUUUGCGCGCGGCAAAAACUUUACGAAAAAAUCGACAUGGCUCGCAAAUUGACGUGACUCGAAAUAGCAAGCAGAAUUUUUUUAUAGCACGAUGGGUGUCUAUUUAUAUCCGAAAGUAUAUUUAAUCGUUUCACACGAACAGAAGUAUAUGUAUAAUUUUAGAAUGUAUAAAAAGAGUGAACCAAAUUAAUUUGUAAUUGAUAUUAGUGUUUAACAUACACGGAUAUAAUGAAUAACCGUUUCCUUUAUUUAAAUUCAAGAAAUUAUUUUAUCGAUAUAAUUUAACGGCUUUGUUAAAUAAUUUUUAAGAAAAUUUAACGCUGUGUAGAAAUGAAAUUAUUUUUUAAAAAUAUUUAAGUAUUUAGCUUUUGAUGUUUGGUUCAGAAUACGUGAUGGAUCGAUUGUUUUAAAAAGCAUAUUUACAAAAUUUGUCAUUGAAAAAUUUGAAGAAUCAGAAUCGAGUGACUUUUUUUUUUCAAAAUUAAUUUCAUACUUAUAGAAUUUAUUUAUUUAGACUAAUAAAAAGUUAAAAGUAAUUUUAUGUUAAUGAUAUUUUUAUAUUAGUUAAUUGGUGAAAAAACUCAUUAAAUCAUUAUUAACUCAUUAUUUGGUUUUAAGAAUUUCUUAUUGUUAAAUUUAAUAUAUAUUAAUUAUAAUAUAUUUUAAAUGCAUCAUUAAAUGUCUAUUUGAAAAUUUAAAUAUAUAUAUAUAUAUAUAUAUAUAUAUAUUAUACUUAUAUUUGCAUGAGUAAAAUUUGGAUAAAAUUUGAUUAAAAUAAAUUUCUUGGUUAUUGAUUUCUGAUACUGCAUUAAAAUAAAUAUUAAAUUAAAAAAUAAGCCAGAUAAGUAAUAAUUAAUUAUAGGGAUUAUGAAUUAUUAUGAGCUCUUAUAAAAUAUCACAGUUAAUUUUGAACAGUAUAUUUUGAUGGUAAAUUGGAAGAGUCAAAGUCGUGAAACUCUCAAGGAUAUGAAUUGAAAUAGCCUGUAGAAUAUGUAGAAAUAGCAGACAGUCCAUGAUUGCAGGGUCAAAUGAUGACAAGGACAACAACCGUAUGAGUGUUAAGCUUUUUCGUUUAUUGAAAAUAUCUCUGUAAAACGUGUGUAUAUUGUGGCCGGGCGAGGUAAGCCGACAAAACCGAAUCUUUUUUUUUUUCUUCAUUUUUUCGACAACGAAACGAAAUCGGGUAGCAAACGAAGGAAUACGGUGAAGACAUUAAAAACAAUAAUAGAGUCAAAUCGUUAUUUAGUUACCUACAUAAGUAAAGGACGAAUCAACGAUGCAUUCGCUUACUUUUCUUUUUUUCUUUUUUUUUUCUUUUAAUCUUAGUAUAUUAAUUAUAUUAUGUAUAACAAAGCGGUAACAACUUGUUAAUUGUAACUAUUACGGUAAUAAUCGUUUACUUUAUAUAAUUACAAUAAUGUAAUGUAAGGAUGAUCGUUAACUAAUCGAUAACAAACGAAUCGUUUCCUCCUCCAUCCUUCCUUCGUCUUGAUCGUCAUAUUUAUUCUCGUCACUUUCUUAACUUCGUCUUUUCCCUAUUUUUCUUCUCUUUUUUCUUUUAUUUUUAUGUUUGUAUUUAUUUAUUUCUUUUUUUUGCUUAAAUCCGAUAUCCAUCUUCAGCUAAAUCGUUUCGUUAUUUAUUUUAUUCGUAUAUUCCUUUUUUCGUAUUAAUUAUUUAACAACAGUUUUUUUAUUCCUUUUAUUACUUGCUCUUUAAUUUAAUAAUCGUAGUAAACAUAGUAAUUAUUUAUAAUAUUGUGCAAAUAAUCCAUAUUUUUAUUUUGUUUAAUAAUAAUGAAUGUCAUUCAACGGAGGAGCUCUUCUAUGUUCUCUCUUUCUCUCCCUCAUUUUCUCUCUCUUUCGCUCUCUUCUCGCUUUCUCGCUCUCCCUCUCUCGCGCUCUCGUUCAUUCUUUCCCUCAUUCUCUCUCUCUCUCUCUCUCUCUCUCUCGCUUUCUUUCUUUUUUUCUAUUUUUCACACAUACACGUUCUUUCGCACGCAUUCUGUCUCGAUGUCUCUCUCUGCUUGCUCGCGCGUAUUUACGACACGCAUUUACGCAUGCGCGCCGUCGCGGCACAUGUCCGCGCAUGCGCGCACAAGCACGGAGCACGCAUUUGAAUGGACGAUCCUUCGCGCGUAAUGUUUUUUUUUCGACAGCUAGCUCGUUAAAAUUGGAUUUUUUUUUUUGGUUUCUUAGCACAUUUCGUCUACCUAGCUUGUUGACCCAUGGCAGUUGCUUGUUCAUUAUACUGGCCGACAGGCUCCGUAGCUUGACACUUUACUCGAUUAUUCUCUGUAUUUUUUUUAAAUCUUCUUUUAUUUAACCCACCUCUAGAAUUUUUAUUUCGUACCUUCUUUAUAUAGCUUUUGUGUAUUUCAUCGUUUUAUUAUCUGACGAUGUUUAGGUUAAUAAGUUUCGAGAGUUUCGAGACACUACAAAGCCCUUUUUUAUUUUUGUUCGCUAUCCGUUUAAGAAAAUUUCGUGCAUUUACGAUUAGUUAACUUAGUUUCAUUUCUUCUUUAUACAAUGCGUAACGGCAGUAUCGUCCACGGAGAAAGUACGUUUAAAUCUCGUCUUACCUCGCUUAACGAAGGAAAGCCCUAUAUGUAUAUAUAUAUAUAUAUAUAUACACAUAUAUAUAUAUAUAUAUUUUUGUUCUUUAAUAUCUUACAGCCGUCGUCGCGCAAAAGCUGAUAUUUAAUGUACGGUUUUUUUUUGUUUGGUAAAACGAAAAUUAAUGAAGCACACCACGUAUACUCUUCCACCCCCCUCCCCCUUGUUUCUUUUCGCAGCCGUAGCAAAUUUUUUUGGCCGAUCGAACAUUUUUUACCGUUCCCGAGCUUUUUUGUCCCGAGCGUUACGCACAAACGAAUUUCCAAGCAACCCUUCGAGACGCGGAAAUUGGAAUUUCUAACAUUUUUUACGCUUUCCCUUCUAAUACGACCGUAGAUUAAGCGGAUCGAAUGUUAUCAAGUUUACCAACAAUCGGUAAAUGCGACUGAAAAUUGGGGAAGUUGCGAUUCAAUCGAACAUUCGAUCACGAAAAAUCCGAGCAGUCAUCACGUUCACAAUAAAAACACUGUGGAUAAAGAAGAAAAAGAAUAAGAAAAAGAAGAAGUAGAAAAAGAAGUAGAAGAAAAAGAAGAAGAAGAAACGAUAUUCAUUCGAUGCCUCUCAGGGAAGAACGAUUUUUAUAUGAUUCGCAAAAUCAAUUAUCGUUAAAAAGAGGCCAAUGUGUUUUGGAACACUUUCUGCACGAUUGUAUUUCGUUUCGUUCGUUACGCCCUGUUUAUAUAUUUUUUUUUUUAAUCUUCUAGCGUUUGUCAUGUGUCUCGAGAGUUUUAUUGCUUCUAGAAGUUCGCGGUUACCCAUUCGACAAAGUAGUAUCGAAAAUAUAUAUGUAUAUUAUUUGCGUACAAACCAUUUGAUUAUUAUCGAAUUAUUUGCACAUAUUACAGCACGGGAGAGGUUCGAAACAUAAAAAGGGGCGAGAGGGGGUAUCUGAGUAAUUAGACAGUGAGCCGGACGGACCAUCAGAUACGUCGUACUUCGAUAGAAGAAGGAUCGACGAGUUAAAUGAAUCGUCGUCGAUCGAUCUCGUGCCUCUAUUCGUUUCGUUUCGUCGUCAUCGUCGUUCGUCGUGCUUCGUAUAUUAGAUUAUAUUAUGUUAUAUCAGAUGCAUGAUCGUAUAUUUCGAGUAUUAUCGUGAUUAUUUUGAUCUCUACAAAACAAUAUUUAAAUAACGUGCGGCUAGAAAAAAAUUCAAAGAUUCUCGUCAAAUAUAAUAUAUGCAAACAGCAACGGCAUCACACAAUACUUUUUUUUUUAGGCAUAAUCCAUAUCUGCUUUUUCGUUGCAGAAAAUUAUUGAGAUAAUAGGUGGCGCGAUGAAUCUGAUUGUAAUUGAUGAUAAUGCGGAUAUAUUAUUGGAAUUCAGAAUCAUUUUAAAGAGAGAUUCAGAGUAUAAGAAAGUCAAAUCUCGGAAGAAACGAAGAACGACGAUCUCUUCCGAACGAACGAGUCGCGAGGACGCAGUCACGCGCAUGCGUAUACUUUGAAGCGUACUCACGAAAAGAUCAUCGAAUGGCCCGCGACGAGAAUCGUGAAAUGCAAUUAUAAUAUACGUAGAAAAGGUACGAGGACAUUAAUAUCGGACAGGCUUCUCUAAAAUACUUUGACAAAGCGGACUCGACACCGAUAGUGUGUGAAUUAUUUGUACGAGUAAUUUACAAUGAUCCUCACCCUCUUGAGCCUUCGUAGCUUAAAAUAAUGAACAUUUGUUUAUCUGUUUCCAUAUUUUCUCGUUAUUUCUCGCAUUAUUCUGUACCUAAUUGCAUAUCUGUAUUUUGCCUAAUCUCAUUUUCAACCUAUGUGUAAUAAAUUUACACCGUUCCCGGCUCAUUCAUAACCAUCGUUUUUGUUAUGUUCUCGUCAUUCCUGCUAUAUAUUCCAAAUACAAUCCUUCGAGCGAGCUGCGAGUUUUUUGCCACGUCCGUUUUCGACCAGCGAGAACGAUUCUAGCUUCGUUUAUUAUAGCGUUUCCGCCGUCGCUAACACGACACCUGUUUCCGGUAAAACACACGAGCAACAAGGUGCGUUCCUCGUUCCUUUUCCCAUCAUGUUUCUUUCUAUUCCAUUUCAGAACGCGGAUGUAAACGUAGAAAAAUAACGAUUGCGCAAUCCGCGUUAACACACACACGCACACACAUUAGUUCAUGUUUGUCCUCUGUAUUGUUGCCUCACCACUGCACGCUCGUUGCGUGCUAGCCCGAGAUAACUUUCGUUCGUGUAAGUACCUAUAUGUAUAAUAUGCAUUAAUCUGUACUUUGUACGGCAAAAUGAACUGUGCAUUGCCGCCAUUAUAGACAGACGCGUUCCAACGAAUUCUCGUUUAUCUUCGUGUGCAUAUCACUUGCAACGCGUUCCUCGAUUCACUUCACUAUACCUAUGAUUUCUUAUGUUGCACGAGAACGAUGCGAUUGAGGUUAUUGACUUGUGAUAAAAUCGAGUGCCAUGUUUACGAUUAUUGAAAAUUUUAUUCGAUAUAUAUCGAAAUAAUUUUACUCGAUCGAUAAUACAAUCCUACCACACCAUCUGAAGGAUAGAAGAUUGUAUUAUUUAUAAAACAGGCACGCGAUCCUUCACGAAAUUAUUAAGCACGUAAACCCGUUCGAAAUCGAGCUGGAAACUCGAACGAUUCCUUUCUUCUAUGAAGCAUCGAUUUUUUUUCUUUUUUUUUUUUUUUUAAUCGUUUAGAAUAUAUAUCGAAAUUUUUUUAAAUAUUUGUAUCGUGAUUCAUAAUGAAAGAAAAUGUGUAGUUAUUUUGUCAGUUUAUAGUAAUUGUUAUUAUUAUUAAACGUGCAUCUUCUCGAAUCACGAAUGAAAAUGAUACAACGUAUUUUUUGGGCGUUUUUGCAUUGUUUGUUCUCAUAUAGAGAUAAAUCACGUUUGAUAAUUCAACAGAAACUGUGUACUAAAUAUUUUAAACAACGAACAGCAAAAUAAUCAUUUGAAAUCUUAACAAUUUUUGUUGAAAACUUAACGUAUCAUUUUGGCAUCUAUUAUUAAACUAAGUAGAAUGACACAACUUUUUCACUCAGAUUUUAUAAGAAUUAAAAAUGUUAAUGAAUUUUUAAUUUUAAAUUUUAUCUGAAAUGUAAAUGAUUUAUUUACAUUGAAAUAUUAAAAAAAUUAUUUUAAGCAAAAAUUAUCAUAUUAAAGUAUCUAAAAUACUUUUUUAAAUUUCAAUUUUAUUCCAUUAUAUUAAUUAUUCUUACAAGUUUUAUUACUUUAACAAUUGAGUUAAAUUUUGAUAGAAAUAUAAUUCAAAAAUGAGUUAAAAAUAGUUGUGUCCAAUUCUACAUUAUCAACCGAGUUAAUCUUUCAUUUUUCCACAUUAUUUAAAUAUGCGGUAUUUUAUAUUUCGUUUUACUCAUUUUAAUGAUUAGACUACGCGUUUACUGCGAGACGGGUUUACGGGCGCACGGUUGUCGAUUACAAUUAUUCGAAUAACGUUACACUAUUAUGUAUAUUCAUUUAUUCCAAAGCGCAUCACUACGUCGUGUAAGAUUGUGUCUGUGUAAGUUUUUGCAAAUGUGUAAAUAUCUAGCUGAUGAUGAUUGCGAAAUUUGUAUUUGCCAUUCCUUUUUCUUCUCUAUUCCUUUUGGCAAGAAAACUAAUUAUUAAUUAUAAAUAUUGAAAAGAAACUAUUUUUUACCAAUAACAACGAAAAUUUAUGCAAGAUUUAGGUAAAAACAAAAACUUAUGCAAGAUUUAGGUAAAAAUCUGCUUUAUCAAAUGAGUUAUCACAAUCGCAUUUCUUCUUAAUUCUUUAUAGAAGUAAUUUUUCGAUUUUUUAAAUAAAUAUAUCGCUGUAAAAUUACCCGAUUGUUAAUAAUAAUAUAUAAAUCAAAUGCUUAUAUAGAUCAUUGAUAUUUAAAUAUAGAAAUAGAUAAGAGGAAUAGAGAAGUAAAGGGUCAGAUAAAACAAAGCCGCGCAUUCGGAUUUUUGCGCAUCGUACUGCGCAAAAUUUGUUCAAGCCGAGCAAAUUGUAGUAAACUACGCGUACAUUUCACAUUAUUAACAUUCUUAUUCACCAUCAUCAUCAUGAUUUAUAAUCGUUAUCUUAAUCAUUCUAUGAUCAUCCUCACUAUUAUCGUCAGUUAUGAUCAGCAUCUUCAUCAAUGUCUUCGUUUUCUCCAUCAUUUUUCUCUUUUUCCUUUUUUUCAGUUUUAAGUUCAAAAAACUUUCUCGUAUUUAUUAUACACCACAGUACGAUGACCAGAAUAACAAAUAAAUGAACAAAUGUCACCCACGAACCUCGACCGCAGCGAAUCAACAUUGAUUUUUUUAUUACAUUUCUAUAUAUUUUUUAACUUCUUUUCGUUUGUAUUGUGUUUGUCAGCGAGUUGGCGAAUCGCUGUCAAAACCGUGUAAAAAAUCCAAUAUACGCGGAUAGAAUUUUACGAAUCGGCUCUACCGAUAAGUUUUCUUUUAGAGAAACGAUGAGAAACGAUCGCUCAUUUUUCUCUCUCUCUUUUUUUCUUUUUCUUUUUGCAAACGCGGCAAUAUCAACUAUCCCACCGUAGAUCUUCAUUUCAUUGUCGGUCACGUGAAAAGAUUUUUCAUUUCAUUGCGUCUCGAGUAUGCGUGCAGCUAACGCAGCCGGCGCGGAUCGUCAUCGUCAUCGUACGAUUUCUAAAAAAAAAAAAGAAAGAACGGUAAGAAGUACCGUAAACGAAGUCCAUCGAAGGCAGGAAUACUGAGCGCGUAGCAACGUUAACCUUCGAGCCCUGAUUUAUUUUUAAAGGGGGGGAAGUCGACUCGAAGGUUACGUUGUACAGAGUCAAAUACACUUUUCUCUAUACACCGACUAUCAUUAUAUUCUUUAUAUGCGUUCUUUCCUGUUAAAGUUCUUGUCCUUCGAUUCCUCUUCGUAUGUCUAUCCAUAUCUUCGUUUCAUAGCCAAAUCUUAUUUUUCAAUUACGAUUCCAUGAAUUCCUCUUCCACCACGGAACGAGAGCCGAACCAAUUCGAUAACGAGCACGGACGAUUGAUGAUAUCGACAACUUUAUGCUUCUCUCUAUCAUCUUAUUACUUGCGUCCCGUUUUUUAACUCGUUCAGGACAAACAAACACAUGUCUCAUGUAUUCUAGUCCUCGCUCGUGUGUUCAUCAGCUAGCGACGUGUCUUUCCCAACGAUCGUAGCGUUUAUAGUAGAUUAAAGGCAACUCGUUGGAGGAAUGUAUUUUUUUGUUUUUUUUUUUUUUUUUUUUGGUUUUUUUCUUUCUUUUAUUUUUUAUACAACUAUAAGGCUGUCGAUGGAGAGCGCGCGCGAGGUCCGUGAGGCCGCUGCUCCUCGCGAGCAGUAUCAGCACUGCAGACGCUGCGUGAAAUCGACGCGUCUGUCGGUAAUUCUAUAGCUGUUAAUCGGCGAUGCUGCAGAUGGAGCGAUCGUCGCACGGACGCCGCCAAUUUGUGGUUCGUGGUGGCGCUUGCUACGACGGUGGCGGUGCUGGAGACAUUAUGGACGCCGAUCAGACGUCCGCGGUUCUCGAGGUUACGCUCGGCGAUCGGCUAUGGAUGACAACUCUGUGGCCAUUUUUCGUUACAAAACCGUCACUCUCGACUAAAACUGCGGUUUGUCUGACCCGUGGAUCCGUGUCAGCGUCAUCGCUUUCUUCGCUGGGUCCGCCUAAACGCUGCUGUUUGUGUUUUCUCCAAGCAUUUUGGAUCAAACGCGCGCAAUAUUCUUCGCGCUGACGCCACAAAGUGGAAGAGACCGGUUCAUAACCUGUCUCACCUGGACGCGUUUGAACCUCGAGCUCUGCUGUCUCCUCAAUCGGAUUACCCUUACGCGCGAAGAAGUCUUUGGUGAGAGCAUCCAAGAUGUCCACGCAGAACAUCAUAUCUCCUUUGCAUAUAGGAAUGUCCAUCGAUACGAUCUUAUACUUGUUCGGCUUGUGUAUCUGCAAUGGCGGUUCGAGCACGUCCAAGAAAUCGGAUAACUGAUCGUAUCUGAUGUACUGUGUCCCGUCUGGAUCAAACUGUUGCCAGAUCUCGUAAUACAUAUCAUAAUCGUCAUCCGUCAAACCUUCCUGCACAUCCUCGGUCGCUUGAGAAUAGUUCUCCAAGAUCACGGCGAUGUACAUGUUUAUCACGAUUAAAAAGCUGAUCACCAAAUACGAGAGAAGGUAGGCAAUGCCGAUCGUAGACGAACCACAAUUGCCCGGAUAUCCUAUCUCGUUGUUUGGUUCCUGGCAGUCCUCUUCGUUUAUUAUACCGUCAAGAACACCGUCCCAACCAGCGGACGUUGACAUCUGAAUAGAUUUAUGAUUUAUUUUCGUAUAUAUGUAUCUAGAUAAAAUUUAUAGAUUGUAAAAGAUUUAAUGUUUAAUUACCUGGAAUAGCAAUAUCAUCGACUGUCCGAACGUUUUAAAAUUGUACACAUCAUCCAGUCCGCUCUUAUCUUUCACGUGCAUGAAGAACGACAUUCCAAAAAUCGCAAAGAUAAACAUCACCAAAAACAGUAAUAGGCAAAUAUUGAAGAGAGCUGGUAACGACAUCGCCAAGGCAAAAAGAAGAGUUCGAAUACCCUUGGCACCUUUCACGAGUCGAAGCACACGACCGACUUUUGCCACCCUUACUACACGAAGCAAUGUUGGCGAUACGAAAUACUUCUCAAUAAUAUCGCUGAGAACCAGACCUAAAGGGAAACAUGUAUGUAUUUAUUAUUAACAAAUUUAAAAUGUUUUAUAAAUUUACUAUUAAUAGAUAGUAAGAAAGGAGUGCUGUGUAAGGUUAUGUGAUCUAAGUAAAUUGGUGCCAUUUAAAUUAAAGAAUAUUUUAGAAAAUCCAUGCAAAAGAUUUUUCACGCAAUAUUGUUUAUUCUAUAGAAUUUAAUUCAUUCAUCGAAGAUAAAACAUGUAAAAAAUUAUGCAUUUUUAGUUCUAAUUGGUUUUCUAUAAUGAAUGAAUAUUGUGUUUUUUAUUUCAUUUAACUUUUUGAAAAUUUUUUAAAAAAAAAAAUUUGAAAGUGUAUGAUGCAUGAUUCGAUAUUUAAAAAGAAGAUUAGAUUAAAAAGAUUAAAAAUAAACGUGCAUCACGCAAUCCUAAGGAUUAUCAUUUCCUGUUUUCUAAUUGUUUCUCUAUCUUUGAUUAUAAAUCAAAUUUAACAUGCAUUUAAAUUGAUCGAAAAAUCAGAAAGUUGAUUAAAGCUCGAUCACUCGUUACAUUUACGUGGUGCUGUAUUAGAGAAAAAAAUGUAUUGAUAGUAGAUUUUUGUGUUAAGUAUUAAAAAUUGAGCACACUACUAAUCAAUUGCUUUUUUCUAAGAAAAACUAAUUGAAAAAACAUAUUUUUGUAAUACAGACCCCCUCUUACCCGACUUUUUGACUAAUGAUCGUCUUUACAUCAAUCAACAUGUGUAAAACCAAUGAAAUACAACAUUAUAUAUCGUUACAAAAACUCGAUGAAUUAAAUUAAAUUUUCAAUAUUAAUAUAUUAUUUAUAAAUAAAUAAUUAUAAUAUUGUUUUUGAUGAUUAGACACAUGUUUAAUUCCGAGAAGACGAGAUUCAUAAGGCAUAGGAAACACAUAAUAUGGAAACCAGGAUAAAACAGGAUAGGAUAACAAAUAACAUCAAUGUAAGGCUACAUAACGUAAUGAAGUUGCUCAGUCGUUGCGGCACAUGUGAAAUAUAUAAUCCUGUAUGCUUAUCUUUAAAAACGAUACUAAUUUUACGUGCAAUAAGAAUUGUACAUGCUCAUUUCCAUCCUAAUCAAAAAGAGAGAGAGAGAGAGAGAGAGUGUGUGUGUGUAAAUAUGUAAGAUAUAUCGUGUAGCUAACAAAACAGUAUGAGAAAGCUAACAGGAUUCACUUUUUCAUUGACAUAUCAAUUUCACUUGUGCCAUACGACUGAACUGAUCAUUACAUUACAUUACCUAAUAUUGACAAUAUAACAACAACAAAAUCAAAGAGAUUCCAUGGCUCCUUGAAAUAGUGGUAACGUAGAGCAAAGAUCUUCAUGAGACACUCGCUGGUGAAUAUCACAAUGAAUAUCAUGUUUAGAUAGUCCAGAACAUCGCUGAAAGUCUGAGUUUGUUGAUAAUGGUCCAACGUCAUUGUAAGCAUGUUCAAUCCGAUGAACAACAUAAUUAUCAUAUCGAACUUUUUGUCUGUCACUAUUUCAAACACUAUUGCUUGCGGUCUCCACUGGAAAAUAAAGGAAAAAAGAUUGAUAUUAAAAUAUUGCAAUUGAAAGAUUUGCGAAAUUAAUAAAGCAAUAAUGACAAUAUGUUAAAUUAUAUGUACCCUUGGACGUGGAAUGGCUUUAAGUGGUUUCUUGCUACCCAUCUUUUUCAUAGCGUUGUAAUAUUUCUUCUGAUCUUCUGUCAUGAACAUCUCGAGGGAACCUCCUGCCUUUUUCUUUUGUUCGUUAAAGUUAUCGAUGAUCACACCAAUGAAUAGAUUAAGGGUAAAAAACGAUCCGAAUAUAAUGAAGAAUACAAAAUAGAAAUACAUGUAGAUGUUCGUUUCACGAAUUGGUUGUUUGUUGAGCUGCAAGCGAGAAAGAAAAAGAAAAUCCACAAAAAUAUGAUGAUUUUUUAAAUGGCAAAUUUUUAAUUAAUAAACACACACUCACCUCCCUAGAGUCAAUGGCAUCGUUCAUGAUCUGAAUCCAUCCUUUGAACGUAGCCACUUGAAACAAGCAUAAAUAAGCUUUUCCUACAUGAUCAAAAUUCAUUGGAGAAUUUUCCCAAGUAUAAUUCUCAGCCAAGCAGGCGUUUCGAUCAGGAAUGAUUUCAUGGCUGAGUGUUGUUUUAUUCGCAUCUACACACUAGAUUGAAAGUAAAUAUAUGAUAUAUAAUAUAAUAUAAACACAUACCUUAAAAUAUUUGCCGGCAAAAAGCUGUACACCCAUAAUGGCGAAGAUCAACCAGAAGAUAAGACACACCAGUAACACGUUGAAAAUGGAUGGAAUGGCUUGAACCAAAGCGUUGACGACUACCUGUUAGACAAAGUAUAUUGUUAAAGUAUUUAAAAAACGUUUCAAUUAUUUUUUUUUUAUUCUGCCUGUCUAUGUGCUUAAGUAUGCGUUUCUAUGCAUCUCUAGGCGUUUUCUAUCUAGUCUACGCCUACGUGUAUUACUGGUUCAUCAUAUGUGCAAUUUGAAUUUUGGAAUCUUCUUUUGCGAUAAAAUAAAAAAACGGUGAAACAUCACGUGAAAGGAAUUAGGAAUGUUGUAUCAUUAUUGUGAAAUUAAAUCAAUUAAGAUCAAGUUGAUGAUAAUUUAAAAAAAAUAAAAAUUAAAUAUUUAUAUAUUUUAUUAUUAAAUUCAUUGAUAAUUCUUCUAAAUCUAAACGAAACAUUUUAUUCUUCUUAAUUUCUUUUUUUUAAAUCAUUAUUUUUAUUGAAAAAAAUUUCAAACAUUUGAAACUAGAGAAUUUUUUUUUAAUUUUUUUACUAGUUGGAAGAAUAAAAAGUAAAAAAAAUUAUAUUUGAAUGUAAAUAAUACAAUUUUUCUCCAAGGUAUGAAAUAGUAAAGAAAUAUGAAGAAUUAAUAGCAAUUAAAUCUCUGUAAAUUUUAAUUUUAAUGAUUAUUAUUAUCUUCAUUAUUACAAGAAUUAUAAUCCACAAAAUAUUUAAUUAUAAAAAAAAACAUACAACAUUUCUAUUUAAUUUCAUUCGAUUUUUCACAGUUUUACAAGAUCAAAUCAGGAAACAGAGCCGAUGAAGUAUCCGUUCGGCUCAUUUAUUUUUAAAUAAUUUAUACGAAAUGAUUCAAUUUUUCAUUUUUUAUGGAACAAUAAACCGAGGUAAAUCUUGCAUACUUACUCCACCAAUUACCACGUUCAAUUUCGUACAAUUACCGCACGAACAUAGAGAUAUGUAUCAAUAAAACAUCGAAAUCACAAAUUUCUAAACAAACGGACAAAAUAGAAAGUAAAAAUAAGAAUAAAAAGAAAAAUGGCGAACACAAGGAAGAUUUUUUGCGUUCUCGAAAUAAGAUAUAUAUAUAGAUAUAUCAAUAAAAGACAAGAAAUUACAAGUCUUCAAACAAAUAGAACGAUUCAAUCGAACAAAAAAGAAAAAAGAAAAUGGCAAACACAAGGAGUGCCUCUGCGUUCUCGAAACUCACGAUUCACUUACAUUUAAUGGAAACGAAUAGAAAAUUAAGAAGUAACAAAGUAUCGAUUUGCCUGAUCAUUGAUCGAUGUGACGUAUGGUGCGUACUCAUAACAUGUGUUGUCUCAAGAUCAAAAUUUUACAAGUGUGCCCAGAAUUUCAUAAUCAGAAUACACGAGAAAUAAAGCAGCAGCAGGUGGCGUAAGAAGCAUAAGCAUAGUAAAAAGAUUCUUUUCCUUGUCUGAUGCAAUCAUGUCGUGCGUAAUUUUCAGCAUUUGUCAGCGGCAAGCAACGAUUCCAUGCAGAAAUAAAGAAAAAAAAUUAACAGAAGAUCAAAAUAAUAUACAUAAUAUAUAUGAUAUAUAAUAUUCUUGUACAAUGUAUCAGUUAAAUAUAUUAUAUAUAAUAUAUAUUCAUAUACGUAGAAAUAGAGAUGUAUGCUGAAAAAUAGUAGCUAUAAACUACUGUAUAAAAAGGUAGGAUAAGAGGUAGUGUCAGGGCGUGGGCAUGACAGUAACUCUACGCCCAGUAUCUCAGCGACCUUGUAUUACAGUUAUGUAGAAUCAUAUGUCUGUAAUGAGAUAUGUAAAUUAUUAAAUUUUCAUCCGAAACUAGUAUAUAUAUGUAUAUAUGUAUAUAUAUGUAUAGUAAUAUAUAUAUAUGUUGGUAUAA